rnacentral:rRNA from 1 species
GAUGAACGCUGACAGAAUGCUUAACACAUGCAAGUCUUUGGCGAAGCUGUGCUUGCACAGCCUAGCCAAGGCGGACGGGUGAGUAACGCGUAAGGAACUUGCCCUGCAGUCAGGGAUAACAGACGGAAACGACUGAUAAGACCUGGUAAAGUCAGGCGGACUCAUGUCCAGCCUGAUGAAAAGAGAUGCUGCAGGAGAGCCUUGCGUCCUAUUAGCUUGUUGGUGGGGUAACGGCCCACCAAGGCGAUGAUAGGUAGCCGGCCUGAGAGGGUGGACGGCCACAAGGGGACUGAGAUACGGCCCUUACUCCUACGGGAGGCAGCAGUGGGGAAUAUUGGACAAGGGGGGCAACCCUGAUCCAGCAAUUCUGUGUGCACGAUGAAGGUUUUCGGAGUGUAAAGUGCUUUCAGCAGGGAAGAAAAAAAUGACGGUACCUGCAGAAGAAGCGACGGCUAAAUACGUG